CAGUGAGAGGGAUGAUGUACUACCGAAGGGCUUUGAAGCUCCAGGCUUUUCUUGACAUGGCUUCUGAAAGUGGUAAGAUGAAGAUAUUUUUUUG